rnacentral:rRNA from 1 species
GACGAACGCUGGCGGCGUGCUUAACACAUGCAAGUCGAACGGAAAGGCCCUGCUUUUGUGGGGUGCUCGAGUGGCGAACGGGUGAGUAACACGUGAGUAACCUGCUCUUGAUUUUGGGAUAACUUCAGGAAACUGGGGCUAAUACCGGAUAGGAGCUCCUGCUGCAUGGUGGGGGUUGGAAAGUUUCGGCGGUUGGGGAUGGACUCGCGGCUUAUCAGCUUGUUGGUGGGGUAGUGGCUUACCAAGGCAUUGACGGGUCGCCGGCCUGAGAGGGUGACCGGCCACAUUGGGACUGAGAUACGGCCCAGACUCCUACGGGAGGCAGCAGUGGGGAAUCUUGCACAAUGGGCGGGAGCCUGAUGCAGCAGCGCCGCGUGCGGGAUGACGGCCUUCGGGUUGUAAAACGCUUUCGCCUGAGACGAAGCGUGAGUGACGGUAAUGGGUAAAGAAGCACCGGCUAACUACGUG